AUGCUGCAACGCAGCGUCGCCGUGGUGGUGACCACGCUGCUGCGCUCGCCCUUGGCGUUACAAUGCAGGGUCGCUCGUCGUGGUGACCACGGCGCUGCAACUCGUGGAUCUCUCCGUCGUUCAACAGCCAGCGCUACAACCAAAGGCCCUGGGCUGCAAUGGAGAAUUGUUGGAGUCGUUGAAGCCGUGAAGGGGCUGCAAUGGAGCGCCCUCGGAGCUGCAAUGGAGCUUCACCAGAGCGCCGUCGGUGCUGCAUUGAAGCUUUUUGCCGCGCUCGAUGCUGCCGUGGAACAUCGAUGGCUACUGGUGCUGCGAUGUAGCAGUAGCCAGUGCAAUAAUGAAACGGCGGCGGCGUAUAUGUGA
rnacentral:rRNA from 1 species